UAACGUUCCCGGGCCUUGUACACACCGCCCGUCACACCACGAAAGUUGGUAACACCCGAAGCCGGUGGCCUAACCCUUUGGGAGGGAGCCGUCGAAGGUGGGAUCAGCGAUUGGGGUG
rnacentral:rRNA from 1 species